GGCGAACGGGUGAGUAACACGUGGGCGAUCUGCCCUGCACUCUGGGAUAAGCCUGGGAAACUGGGUCUAAUACCGGAUAGGACCAUGCUUUAGUGUGUGUGGUGGAAAGUUUUUCGGUGUAGGAUGAGCCCGCGGCCUAUCAGCUUGUUGGUGGGGUAAUGGCCUACCAAGGCGGCGACGGGUAGCCGGACUGAGAGGUUGGUCGGCCACAUUGGGACUGAGAUACGGCCCAG
rnacentral:rRNA from 1 species